AUUCAAAGAAGCUGCGCCAAGGAGAACUGGAUGAGCUCCAGCAGGAUAUGACGAAGCAGACGACGGGGAAAAAGAAGGCCAAAGCUCAGUCACACAUCCAACCACUGACUGUGGAGGAAGAUUCCAUGAACAACGGGAAGGAGAAGAAAAAGAAAAAGAAGAAUGUGGGAAAGAGGUUUUUCCAGUGGCUGUCCCGCAAACUCAUGUGUUGCAGUUGUUUAGAUGUUUAACAAACAUCACAAACAUACUCAUGCAUACACACACAUACACACGCAUUCUCUCUUUCUCGCUUUCUCUCUUUCU